rnacentral:rRNA from 1 species
AUAUAUUGGGCCUAAGCAUCCGUUAGCUGCUGAGCCAGUCCCCUGGUUAAAUCCUUUGCAAUUAAUUGUUUGUGUUGUGCGGGGGAUACUGYUCWCCCUAGGGGACGAGGAGAGGCRSACAGAUAUUUUCRGGGUAGGGGUGAAAUCCUAUAAUCCCGAGAAGACCACCAGUGGCGAAGGCUGUCUGCUAGAACGCGCCCGACGGUGAGGGAUGAAAGCUGGGGGAGCGAACCGGAUUAGAUACCCGGGUAGUCCCAGCUGUAAACUAUGCAGGCUAGGUGUUUGGGCGGCCACGUGCCGCUCUAGUGCCGCAGGGAAGCUGUUAAGCCUGCCGCCUGGGGAGUACGGUCGCAAGAUUGAAACUUAAAGGAAUUGGCGGGGGAGCACAA